rnacentral:misc_RNA from 1 species
UGGCGCAGCUCAUCUCUGCUACUCCGCAUUGCCACGCACACGUCCAACACAUACGCACCCACAAGCACAGGCAUCUUCCGCACCCGCCACAGCGCCCGUUUAGCAAGAGCCGCGCCGAAGUAGCGGAAAAGGGGGAGGGAGUGUCGCCCACUCGUUUCCUUACCCCUUCCGUUUCUUUCAUUCGCCUUCGCUGAGUCUCGAUUUUGAAGGGACCAUGCGCACGGUGAGCCGUGUAGGGGCUGCUGCAGCGGCUGGUCCCGCCGUCAGCGCUCGCACAGUGGGGCAAGCGCUACGACAGCCACGCCACAGUUUUCAGGGGGCUUUGAGUUUCGCCUCUUUAGCGUCCUCCUCGCCACUGCUGCGCCUGUCCACUUCACAAAUGAUGACCGCAGCUGUCCUUCCUUGCAUGCGACGCUCCCCGCACUUUCUCGCAAUGGCGGUACGUCAUCAGCACACCACGGCGGCUGGUGAGGCCGCAGCAUCCCCCACCAGCGCAUCGGCAUCCUCGCCUGGUAUCUCUUCUUCAAGUUACAAUUUCGGCGGCGACGAUGGCGUACGUAUUGACCCACGUUGCCUCCCGAGCACUAUCCCUGGCAUCACGCGGGAGGAGCUGGCGGCGCGUAUCGUGCAGUACCACUCACAGCAGUCGAAGCUGGCGCAAGAGAUGUCGGACAAGGCGCUGGCGCAUGAUGUGGAACUCAUGCGUCGGUCGCUGUCACCAAGCUCCUUUGCCGAGUACAUGGCGCGCCUGGAGAAGGAGCAGCAGGCGGCGGUGAAAGAGGAGGCGAAGAUGGCCGCCAUGUCCCCACUUGAGUUGCACCAGUACCGGCAGAAGAAGCGCCGGCAGGCGAUCCGGUACGAGUGGUACAAGACCUUUUUGGUGCUUGUCGCAAUAGCUGGUAGCAUCGCCUUCCUCUUCUCUUUGUUUAUCUUCUUCAAGUAAUCGCAUGCGCUGUGAAGAGUGGCUGCGUGCUGCGGGCUCCGCUGUGUAUCUUGGGCUUGUUGCAGCCUCGCAUUUGGCUGUUCAUGGUAGCUUCUUGAGCACAUCGGCUCACACAUUCCUUCUUCUGUUGGAAAGCGUCGGCAGCGGUAGUUGUCGUGGUGGUCGGGAGGGUGGGGGAGGGGAGCGAGUGCAUCGUAGUCUUCUGGAAUGCUGUUCGCUGUGUGAGGCGCGUGCUCUGCCUCAUGCACCCGCGGUCUCUGUAUCUUAUUCUCUCUCGUGUGUUAUUGUUGUUGCCUUGCUUGGUGGUCUUUGUCGUCACAGGAAACGGUCGAUGCACACACAAACACACAUAUCUGUAUAUAUGUGUACAUAUGCAGAUAUAGAUAUGUGUGUAAGUAUUAAUAUGCGCAAACUCACAGAGAGAGAGAAAGACGCAAACAAAAGAGGAAAAAAACAACAGGAGCGCAGAGAACGGAUGCGUUCGCCUCUCCUAUCCUCCUCCUCCCCCUUUCUGUACGCGCAAAUCUGCACCGAGUGCAGCGGAAUGGAG